rnacentral:rRNA from 1 species
UUUCCCACGGGAUGCAUUGUACGGCGAGUGAAGCGGCAAAAGCUCAAAUUUGAAAUCUGGUACCUUCGGUGCCCGAGUUGUAAUUUGGAGAGGGCAACUUUGGGGCCGUUCCUUGUCUAUGUUCCUUGGAACAGGACGUCAUAGAGGGUGAGAAUCCCGUGUGGCGAGGAGUGCGGUUCUUUGUAAAGUGCCUUCGAAGAGUCGAGUUGUUUGGGAAUGCAGCUCUAAGUGGGUGGUAAAUUCCAUCUAAAGCUAAAUAUUGGCGAGAGACCGAUAGCGAACAAGUACAGUGAUGGAAAGAUGAAAAGAACUUUGAAAAGAGAGUGAAAAAGUACGUGAAAUUGUUGAAAGGGAAGGGCAUUUGAUCAGACAUGGUGUUUUGUGCCCUCUGCUCCUUGUGGGUAGGGGAAUCUCGCAUUUCACUGGGCCAGCAUCAGUUUUGGUGGCAGGAUAAAUCCAUAGGAAUGUAGCUUGCCUCGGUAAGUAUUAUAGCCUGUGGGAAUACUGCCAGCUGGGACUGAGGACUGCGACGUAAGUCAAGGAUGCUGGCAUAAUGGUUAUAUGCCGCCCGUCUUGAAACAC